rnacentral:snRNA from 1 species
GUUAAAAUAUUGACAGUUAUUU